AACAAGAUUUUUUUUAUUGAACCAACAAACUACCAAAGCAUACAGUACGCUACCAGGUAGGGCUGGGAAAGAUCUUGGAGAGCCGCUGCCAGUAGGAGUAGACAAUACUGAGCUAAAUGGACUAAUGGUCCGACUCUGUAUAAGGCAGCUUCCUAUGUUCCUAAAGUAGAUAGCGGACAGUGGCAGCGCUGAGAGAGGGGGGAGUAACCUUUUCAUUGCGGGACCGUUUUGGCGAUCAGAGAGAGCCGGCUCAAAGGAGCCCUGGCCAUAUUGGCAAAAAAGGGGACAUCCUAGGUUUGGGGGCAGCAGGCGCCUCGGAUGCUCUCCGUCCCCCAGGCAGCCGCCUGCCGCCUGCACUGCCGUCGCCGCUGCAGUGAGCGCCUGGGCACCCCCACGGGGAUGCCCUCAGCCUGCCCUGAGAGGAGAGCUGCCUGCCCUGCCUCCCGCUGCAGUGAGCAGCCACUCCUGCCUCUCCAGUCUGCUUCUUUCAGCCCCCACCCCAUACUGCACCUACAUGUGGGCAUCCCGUCACACAGCCGGGCUGAGGCGCGCGAAAAGGGAGGAGAGGAGAAGGCGCGAGAGAGCCGAGUUGAAGAAGCCCGGCACCUCCACGACGAAGGAGCCAGCGAGGCACAUCACGGACCUGCUGCCGCUUCCUGGCCUGAUUUCGUUGCAAUAAAAUUGUUGAGACAAAACGGGAGCCAGCCAGGCAGCGUGGGAAGGAGUGGAGGAGAAGGCGCAAAGGAGCAGAUUUCUUCACACACAGCUUGGCCCACUGGCCAAAGCUGUUCAAACAUUUUAUUGAAGUUAACCCCUUGUCCCCUGACCAAACAGGUGAGCGAUGAGUCAGAGAAAGCAACCAUCAGGAGCAAAAAAAAUCUGAAGAGAAAAGCCAAAAAGGAAUCUGCCAUGGAAAAAUAUAAAGGUAGCCUCACAAAAAAUUUCUAAAAGAGCAACCGGAGCAGAAGCAUCCACCAGUCAAACAGCAAUGAACUGGACAUCAGUAGAUGUAAAGAAUGAUGGAAGCAGUCCAAAAAGAGUAGCUGUAGAAUGUGAGAAGGCCAUUGAGAAUGUCUCCAGCGAGAAUAUUUCACAUGAAGAAAGUGAUGCACCUGACUUGAAUUCAACUCCACAAAUAACAGUUGAGUAUUCUGAUAUCGCAAAGUGGCCGGAAAAUACGCAGUCUAUAACUGAUCUGCUGGUUAGAGUAGGUCCCGUGCAAGUAAUAGAUCAUGCAUUUCCCGUAACCAUUGAAGUUGGAAGAAAGAGAAGAUUUAAUGCAGCAAGCUAUUAUCGAAUGCUUCCAAAAGGGGGGAGAGUACAAGCGUGACUGGCUUGUAUAUUCAAAAUCUGCAGAUGCUGUGUUCUGUUUUUGUUGCAAAUUGUUUUCAAAGAAAAGCAGCAGACUUAACCAUGAUGGCGUCAACGAUUUGGAAAAUGUAGGUACUAGAUUAAAUGUUCAUGAAAGAGGUGCUGACCACCUGAGUUGUUUAAGAACACGGAAUGAUUUAAUUAAGCGACUGAAUCACAGUUCAACAAGAGAUGACAUCCAGCAAAAACAAAUUGAUUAAAAUACCAGGCAUUGGGGAAGCGUUCUAGAACAUCUGUUUUCUAUAAUAAGAUUGCAUUGUUCUCAAAAUAUUGUCUUGCAAGGAACAUCAGAUCAAUUAUACAAGGAUGACAAUGGAAAUUGGUUAAAAAUUGUGGAGCUACUGGCAACGUUUGAUCCAGUGAUGAAAGAACACAUAAGAAGAAUUGCAAAUAAAGAAACUUACCAGCACUACCUAGGAAAAAACAUACAAAAUGAAAUUAUUCAAAUACUAACUAAAGCUGUUAAAGAACAAAUUGUAAAAAAAUUGAAAGCCAGCAAAUAUUAUUUUAUCAUUGUCGAUUGUACUCCAGAGCUCUCGCACACUGAACAGAAGUCAUUGAUAGUAUGCUAUAUUUCCAUUGUGCCUAAAGAUGGGAAUCCUUUGGAAAUCUGUGAGCAUUUUUUGGGAUACAUCAAUAUUGACGAUAGUACCGGUGCAGGAAUGACUCAGAAAAUUCUAGAAAUCUUAAAAGCAAAUGAAAUAUCAUUGUCUUAUUUAAGAGGACAAGGCUAUGACAAUGGCUCCAAUAUGCAAGGCAAACACAGUGGGGUACAAAGUCAAUUUUCAGCAACAUAUCCAUGAGCGUUUCUUGUCCCUUGUUCCUCACACACAUUAAAAUGAGUAGUCAAUGAUGCAGCCAGGUGUUGCAUAGAAGCUGUCACUUUUUUGAUAUUGUGCAACACCUUUACAUUUUUUUCUCAUCGUCUACACAACAAUGGGACAUACUUAAACAAAAUGCAAAAGGCUUGGCAUUGAAGGGACUUAGUGAGAUUGGAUGAGCCUGUCGCAUAGAUCAGGAAUUCUCAACAUUGGGUCCCCAGAUGUUUUUGGACUUCACCUCCCAUAAUCCCCAGCCCCAGUGGCCUUUGGUUGAGGAUUAUGGGAGUUGAAGUCCAAUAAUAUCUGGAGACCCAACGUUGAGAAUCCUUGGCAUAGAUGCAUUGAACCCCUUGAGACAUCAACUUAAGGAAAUAAUACAGGCAUUAAACAGCUUUGGGGACAAACGAAUGUAACAUCAGUAAGCUGCAAAAAACAUGUUGGAGGCAAAUGCUCUAUUACAGAAAAUUGGAAGUUUCAAAUUUAUCUGCUGCCUGAUUGUUUGGUGUGACAUUUUAAGUUAAUAAACAUCACAAGCAAGGCUCUUCAAGAGGUCAGUUUGAAUAUGUCAAAAGCUGUUUUUCUGCUUUCAAAAUCAAUGGAAUACCUUGAAAAUUACAGAACCAACCAGAGGCAUAGCAAGGUUGGAGGGGGCCCAGAGACAAGAUUUUAAAAUAGGCCCCUCACUGAUAUACACACACAAACACACUUCACAAUAUAUAGUGCACUCACACUCACAUCCCCAUUAUGAAUAGGGUGAAUAUUCAGUUCACAUUGAAUCUAGUUUUUUUACUCUCUGCUCCUGCCGAUCUCCAAGAGACUCAACAUAAUUCAUAGGGGGUGCAACAUGGGUGGGUGGUGAGUCAUGUGAUGUGCCUCUGGGGGGCCCCUCGAACCAGUGGGGCCCCAAGACGACUGCCUCCCCUUGCCUAAUGGUAGUUACGCCCCUGGAACCAACGAUAAAUUUAAAUGCAUACUAGAUGAUGCAAGAAAGCUUGCAAUCGAAUUGGAGAUAGAACCUGAAUUUGAGCAAACAAGAAUCCAUCGCCGAAAAAUAAUGUUUGAUUAUGAACAACAUGGGGACGAAGUUGGAAUGUCAGAGGAGGACAAUUCUAUGAUUAAUUUUGUCAACAAUAUUCUGAACAAUGCCAUCCAAUCACUGAAAGACAAGUAUGAGUUGAUCGUAAAGCAUAAUCAAUUUAGUUUUCUAUACAAUUUGAACAAUGCAACAACAAUGCGUGGUGGUGAUGAGCUUCAUAAGAACUGUAUUACUUUAGAAAUUUUCCUUACAGAUGGUGAUGAGAAAGACAUCUCUGGCAUUGAUUUGUACAAGGAAUUAAAAUAUUGACGAAACCAUUUCAAGGGCAGUUACUCUCCAACGAAAAUCUUGGAAUUCAUACUUUCAAACAAUUUGACAGCAUCAUUCCCAAACUUAUUUGUGGCGCUGAGAAUUCUUUUAACAUUGCCAGUAUCAGUGGCCACCACAGAACGGAGCUUUUCAAAGCUGAAAUUAAUCAAAACUUACCUCCAUUCCACAAUGAAACAAGAUUGGUUAGAUGGGUUGGCAACCUUAUCAAUUGAACAUGCUAUUGCCAAGGUUCUAGAUCUGGAUGAAAUAAUCCAAAGAUUUAAACAUACAUUUUCAUGAAGAGGAAUACUUCAGAAAUUUUGAGCAAUGGAGAGACAAUGCUUAUAACUUGCAAAAUCUAACGCUUAAUAAAAUGAAAUUAUUGGAAAUGCUCUCUUCAGAGUGGUCAGAAACCCUUUGUGGUUUCAGUAUUACCAAUUGUCUUAUAUAUAAGUUAUUAUUGAAGUAUGACUCAGAAUCUAAACAGGUUAAAGGUUAAAUGGAUGCAAAAUUUAAAUAGGACUGUUGAUAUAUAGCAAUGGUAGUAGCAGUGGAAGAUAAACAUUAAAUUUACGCUGAAUAGCACAUUAAGAGAAAAAUGGUAUCAGAUGUAUUAUUGUUGGUAUGUUACUCCAGUGAUAAUUGCAAAAAUGGACAAGGCGUGUUCAGGAUUUUGUUGGGAAAGUAAAAAUCAAAUUACAACAUUGCUACUACAUACGAUAAAAUGUUCCAAAGCCCAACAAUUCUGGGAAAUGGUUCAUCUCAGGAUGCAACAAAUCCUGAAUUAUACUUUUCCUUUUUUACCAGUCAUUUUUAUGUUAAGUAUUACUAAAUAUUAUAUACCUGUAAAAUAUACUGAAUUGACGUUGUAUAUGAGGCACAGAAAGUGAGAUUUUGAGGGGAAAAUAUGAAUUAGUAGCCCCAUGUUUAACUUCUGUGUAUGUUAUAAAGUCUGUGAAUUUAAGUUAUUCAAUAUUGAAGUUAUUUUAGUAAAACGUACUGAAUGAAGUAAACAAUAAAAACAUAAUUUAUGGUUUUUAACAAAAAAGAAAAACUAUAUACAAAUGUAGGUUUGUACCAGAGCAAAAAUGGUCAAGGGCACCAUAACCCCUUGAGCUGGCAGGAUCAAAAGCAGGAGCUGCCUUUUCAAGCAUAAGAAAGUAAACUGCAUGGAAGUCGUCAGAUCCAUUUGGUCUAUGGCAUGUGGCUGUUUUCUUGUGCCCCCCGCCCCGUGGACUAUCUUUUUACACAUAGACACACCCCCCCCCGUGUUUGUACAUAAUUGCAGAUCACAACUUUAGAAGCAGAUGUUAGUGGAACACCACUCAUAUAAAAGAUAUGCAUUUCUUUAUCAAUGUGUUAAAAAUACAUGACAAAUGGAAAAACAGGAAAAAAAUUAAUGGAUUAAGCAUUUUGCUCUCAGCUUUUUGUUACAUCUCACCCUGCUUAAAUAAAAACACUAUAAACAAAACAUUAUUUUGAUAUUAAA